CAGCAAAUUAAUGUACCUUGUGAUGGUACUUGUUCAUUUGGCUGUGCUGUUGUCAACAACAUGGAAAAAUGUUACUGCCCACCUGGAUUCCAGCUUGAUGUACCUGGGGAAACACAAUGCGUCGAUACUAAUGAAUGCCAGUUGAAUAUGUGUGAACAAGAGUGUAUCAACUCUAAUGGAUCGUUUUCCUGUUCAUGCACAACUGGUUACAUGCUUACAACUGAUGGACGAACAUGUACCGGGGUAUUGAUAUUGAUGAAUGUUGGCUAGCUGUGCGGGAAUCAAAUGACCUUUGUGAGAACUAUCUAAACACAGAGUGCGUUAACAACGAGGGUUCAUUUAAGUGUGUUUGUGUCCGUGGAUACACAGCAAACUCAAAUGGAAUUUGUGAGCUUGAUGAUGAACUCCCUCCGAUGAUCAGUGUGAUCAGACCACAGAAAAGUAUUGAGAAUAGUGUGAACUUCUCAUCACCUAUACUGGUUUCAGAAAAUUUCAGUCCAGAACGCCGACAAAAAUUUAGGGAAGCAAUCGCAGUUGCUGUCAAUAGUUACUGUGGGCUUACAACAUGUGAUCUUCUUCUCCCAUCUGGAGAAACUCAAAUGCAAGUCAUGAUUGCAUAUUAUACCUUCUUAUGCCAAGAAUAAUUACCAAUUGUUCUGUGCAGAUUGAUAAGACUAACAAUUAAAGCAGCUAAUGUAGCCAUACCUUCUUCGUUGAUUUAUCAAUACAUCAAUGGACAGCUUUUGUUCACCUUCUAUGUACAAGUUGGUGAUGCCUUCCUAUCAAAAGAAUAUCUUAAGCCAGCAGUGCAGCAAGCUGAAGAACUCUAUCGAGAUGGAUUGCUGCCUCUCCUCACAGCACAAUCCCUUCAUUUUCAUAUCCUGUCACCACACCUAGAUCUACAACCUUGAUCAAGACGAUUUUAGAAGAUACUCAAAUAAUUGCCAUAGCAGCUGGAGCUGGUGGACCAGUGCUCGUAAUCAUGACAGUACUACUCAGUCUCUUAUGGUGUCUAUAAUUGUGCUGUAUGUGUUGCUGAAUGAUACUACAAAUAUAUAAAUAUACAUAUAAGUAUACAAA